UACUGAAAUAGCUAAUUGUCAGGUGCUUA
rnacentral:piRNA from 1 species